rnacentral:tRNA from 2 species
GGAUUAGUAGUCAAGUGGUUACGACAUAGCUCUUUCGAUGCUACCACCGCAGUUCGAAUCCUGCCUAGUCUA